rnacentral:rRNA from 1 species
AUACGGAGGGGGUUAGCGUUGUUCGGAAUUACUGGGCGUAAAGCGCACGUAGGCGGACUGGAAAGCUGGGGGUGAAAUCCCGGGGCUCAACCCCGGAACUGCCUCCAAAACUUCCAAUCUAGAGAUCGAGAGAGGUGAGUGGAAUUCCAAGUGUAGAGGUGAAAUUCGUAGAUAUUUGGAGGAACACCAGUGGCGAAGGCGGCUCACUGGCUCGAUACUGACGCUGAGGUGCGAAAGCGUGGGGAGCAAACAGGAUUAGAUACCCUAGUAGUCC